GAGAGAGAGAGUGAGAGAGAGUGAGAGAUUGAGAUUUUUCCCAAAGACAAUUUAGUUCUUUUUCAAAAAGUAAACUACGGACUCCCACUCCUGUCCAUGACAGAAUGAAUCUGACUAGACUUGCUCUCCCAUAGUAAACAAGUAGGAAACCAAACAAAAUAUAUAAAACAAACAAUUGUUUUCAGAGACUGGACAACAGACAGUACAGGUGUGUGAUUCUGAGGUAAGGGAAGCAAAUGAUAUGAUCCCUAAAAUAACCUUGGCUUUCUACCUGGAGACAUUUUCCAGACCACAAUAAGGAAAAGAAAUCCCAAGCAGAGAAUGGUACUAUCUCUGAAUUAGGGAAAUCGUUUCUGAGUUUGGAGAGGCUGAGACUACUAGAAUUUGGGGGCAGAGUAAAAAAGGACAGAGCUACGCAGAGAAAAAGCUCCAUAAAUCUGCACCAGCGUGCCUAUGAGUCUUUGUACAUUUAUAGGGUAAGGCUCUAUAAGGAGGCUAAGCAGAAAAUAAUCACAAUGGAAAGAAUGACUAAUAAGGAGAUAUUCAUUCUAGAAUUCUGAGAGCUAGAAGACAUAUGAGUUUUGACUAAUAGGAAUGGCGAUACUCGAACUCCUGGGGUAUUCAAUGGAAGCUUCAAAAAGAUACUGACAGCUAUUCAACAAAUAAAGAAAAAGAGGCAUAGAAAAUUUGGAUAACUUACUAAAGUCAUUGAGACAACAGACAGCCAAGGCAUUGGCACAGUCUUUGGACAUGAAAAUCAUGGAGAAGGAAGAGGCUGAUUGUUAUCCAUGAUUAGGCAGUGCAGAUAUAGCUCAAUAUUCCAAAUGGGAUGUUUUGGCCUUGGAGUUAAGUUCCAAGAGCAUUAUAAAAUAAUCACCUGUAUAGGAAGUCCUGACUUAACUCUAUUAACAACUUCGAAAGUCACAUACCUGAAGAUGAUCCUGCAUGUCCAUAGAGCCUAGGUCCCUCAAAAGAUGGUGUUGCAAUGACAGAAAUUGAGACAUCAAGAGAACGUUUAGCAGAAUAAGUUAGUUAAGAUGUAGGUGUGUCGAAAGUUUCAGGUGUCAGUAAACAUCAAAAGAAAAUGUAGCAGUAGCUAGAAAUUUCCAGGCUGAAGAUGAAGGUUAAAGCUAAAGAUAGACUAUUUUUGUCAUCUACAUGGAAGAUGAUGGCUAAAGCUAUAAGAGUGAAUGACAUCAGCAAGGAAGAAAAUACAGGAAUAAGGAAGAAGAGAUGGUGAAAUGGCUACUCGUAAGGAGUGGGAGAAAGAAUAAAUGAGAAGAAAAUGAAGAAUGUGUGGCCAAGAACAUAGGAGAAAAGCCAGGAAGAUCAAUGUCUUAUCAACAGACAGAUUUGAGCAGCAGGUACUCAACAGAGCUUAAGAAAAACAAAUAUUGAGAACAGAGUAAGGACUAUUUCAUUUGGUGAACAGGAGAUUUCUAUUGAACUAGAAUAGCUAGGUAACUACAUUUUCAUGGGUUAAGAAGAGAAGAGGAGAAAGAACAGUGAGGAAGAGAACCCAUUGUAUUAUUGAGGAAUUUUGAAGUCAAAUAAAAAAGAGAUGUGAGUGGAAUGACAUAAUUCUAGAGAUAAGUGAAGCUGGAGAAUGUUACAUGCUUGGAAGGAAGGAGUGAGUCUUAGAAAUUAAGGGAGCAAGUUCCUUCAAGACAGAUGAAACGUAAUGAGCAACAGAAUGAACUAGAUAUGAUAAUGAUGCAAAACUCUUCUUUGUUACAUACAGGCUGGGAGAAGGGUCCACACAAAAAUUCUGAGAUGGAGAUGAUGGCUAAAGUUAGAGUUCACAUUGGAUGACUUUGAACUCAGUAAACUAGGUGAAUUUGCCAGAAGAUAUGAAGCUGUGGGAACUUGGAAGCCCAGGACACUAUGAUAUUGAUUACAGGGAAAUAGUUCAAAAAUAUCACAAGAUUACAAGCAGCUGUAAGUGUCUUGACUAGCGAAAGACCUUGGAUUUGUAGAGCAUCAGUCUAUGUAUGUCUACAACAAUAUUCAUCAAUUUUAUUAAUCCAAGACUGGGUAUUAGAACAGGCAGGGAGUUAGGAGAACUUGGUAUUGACAGGGGCAAUGUCAGUCAGCAACAUGGCAGCAUGCAAAGAACUUUGGUCUGUGAGAUCAGGAAUCUAGGUUCUGGGUUCAUUCAUUACAUUGUCCUAGGCUAAUAACUUUCUUCUUUCACUCUUAUGUCUUCAUUUGUAAACUGGAGAUGCUAGACUAUGUAAUUUCAAAUAUGGUUUCAAAUGGAAAGAAAAUCUUAUUCUUGAGGCAAAGUAGAGUUGCAGAAAGAGCAACAUCUUUGUGGUCAGGCUUUACUCUCUACUUCUGCCACUUUAUCGCCUGUGACCUUGAGAAAGUUACUUCUUUGCACCUCAGUUUCCUCAUCCAUAAAAUGGUGAAAAGAGUAAGUUAUGGGGAAAUGUUAAAGAUAAAAUUUGAAUAGUAGUCAUCAAUAAUUGCAAUAAUUGUUUAUUUGAUUAUAUUGAUUUGAUUUUUUUUUUUUUUUUUUUGAGACAGAGUCUCGCUCUGUUGCCAGGCUGGAGUGCAGUGGCACAAUCUUGGCUCACUGCAACCUCCACCUCCCAGAUUCAAGCGAUUCUCCCGCCUCAGCCUCCUGAGUAGCUGGGACUACAGGUGCAUGCUACCACGCCCAGCUAACUUCUGUAUUUUUAGUAGAGACGGGUUUUCACAAUGUUGGGCAGGAUGGUCUCGAUCUCUUGACCUUGUGAUCUGCCCGCCUUGGCCUCUCAAAGUGCUGGGAAUACAGGUGUGAGCCACCAUGCCUGGCCCUGAUUUGAUCUUCCUAAAGCCAUAUACUUUAACCAUAAUUUAAUGUUUCUUGAUGACUUACAAUCAUCAAGUACAAAGGAUGAUUAAUGCUAUAACAUUGUGACAUUCUUGUGCCCAGAUUGCUUACACACUUAUUGAGCCCAAGAAUCUUCUUUGUGCAAGUUGUCAAAUUAUCAUUGUACUAUAAUCAAUAUGUCUGUAAUCUGCUAAGAUCUUGGAGAGUAGACAACUAAAUCAUAUAAUAUGUACAUUAAAUAAAAGUAGGUGCUUAUGGAGGCCACGAGUAUUAGGUGUGCAUAGCUAUUUUGACUUCUAAGAAACUUUCUUUGCUUACUUUCAGAUUCUGAAAUGUGAUCCAAUAAGUAGGACACUGAAUAAACACUCUAAAAAGAGAUAAAGUCAUAUUCAAACACAAAAACUGUCAACAUACAGUGAUUGUGUGUAAGAUUGGUGGAAGAGAGUUCACUGACUCUAACAGACCCUAAUACUGCAUUGAGUACCUCUGUAAAUUUUCAUUCUAUUUUUAUGAGUGAGGAACGGUGAGAAAAUGGUAUGACAAUGAGGAGUUGAAAAUGGAAAAGAAGAUUUUAUUUUCUACUAAUUAUAUAUUGUCUAUGAUCUCACAUUUAAAAAUAUGCAUUGGCUUAGUCAAUAAUUGACCCUGGGGUUGAUUUGUUUUUGGAACAAGUCUCAGCAAAGUCCCUUAAAAAGUAAGAUAAAUAAGCAAUGUUUAUACAGCUUUAAUUAUGUUAAUCAUUUUAGGACUGAAUUCACAAACUGUCAGGGAACAGCAAGAGAGUGAGCAGACCACUUUUCCUCCGACCUUCCCUUUUCCUAUCUGAUUGCUGUCUCCCAUAUAUUCUUUUCCUGAGGCAUCUGAAAUUGCUGAUUUAGGUGGAGUAGAAGAUUUAACAAAGCUAAUUGCUUCUGUUGUUAGACAGACAGACAUGUAUCUAUUACAUUCACUAUAUUAGAACUACGAAUUGCUUUAAAAAGUCAACAGAAAUAAACAUAAAAAGUGUCUCUAACCCUUUCUACUUUUAAUAGAGGUACUUCCAUAGUUGUAGGGAAGUUUGUACCUGCGAGUACAAAACAGAGAAUGAAUCUGAAUGAUGUGGUCUGACUGCUAAUGUUUACAAGCUGAAGAGGAGAUGCUGUGAGAUUUCCCUGUGGAUGCAGUCUUGAGAAAAGGACUAGCGAAAUUACUACAAUCCUAGCACGCUGAAUUAGUUGAACAGGCUAAUCCUCACAAAUGGAUAGGAUUUAAGAUAUGAUUGUGAGAUUGUUAUCCAAUUGCAUAAAUCUAUGUAUAAAUGCAGGUUCAGAUUUAUAGACACUGAAUAUAACAGAAAAAGACAUAGAUAUUUUCAUCUAGGAACUUUUAUGUACAUUUUAAAUCAUUGUUUAGUAUAUAUUUCUCUCAAUAGAAGUAGCAUGCUGAAAUGGAAGAAUUUGUUGCAAUAAAAUACAAAGCCAAGCUAUUAUAUUACUAGCUCAAUAGCACAAUGCCUUAGAUAUUUAAAUUUGUGCAGAGGGAGUUAGUUAUAUAUAAAACUCUUUGGCCAAACCCGCCACAUAUACAGUUGGGAGGACACCAGUUAAGUAUGGGUGAAUAGAGAAGUUUAGAAUCUUGCAUUAAAAAAAACUUCCUUACAAAAUGUGCACACGAGAAUCACUAAAAUUUCAAGGAUCCUUUUUACUUAAAUAAAAGAUGCAAAAGGUAUUGUGGUAGUAAGUGUGCAUCUGUUCACCCUUAGAACAGAAUUUCAAAUACUUAGUGUUUUGAAAAAUUCCUUUGCCAACCUACUUUAUUACCCCAUGUAAAUGAAUCAUUUGAUUUUCUGUGUAAAUUGCUUGUAAACUUGCUUUCCAUUUAAUUAUAAUUCAAGACAGUUUAGAACACACACAUACACAUACACAUAUGUACACAUACACACAUACACACACACCUGGGUUAGAGAAUCUGAGCAUUUAAGAGCUAUAAGGAAAUUUUGAGAUGUUUGGUCGAAAUCCAGCCUCAAGUUAGCAGACGUGAAACUGGGAUCACAGAAUCUGAGUCCUUGUCCCAAUUCACAGUGCACAAAAUCUGGCAAGAACUUUGACGUUCAGGUUCAUAGUCACCUUUCUAUCCUAUCACCCUCCUUUAUCAUUUCACAACUAUUGUCUGUGUUUCACCUUUUGGCUUGGUAUUAUGCCAGCAUGCAUUCCCUUCUCCUAUACCUAGAGAGGGUCAUGGCGAUUUCCCAUAUUUCCUCCAACACAGCAAACAGACUAAACACAUAUGGUCCAAAGUCCAACCUCAUGGUGUCAGUCUAGGCCUUAUUUCUUCAGAUGAUUCUCUUCUCAGAUGAAAAUCACUCACUGGUUACAAAAUCAAUGUUGUAAAAAAUGAACUAUUUUUUUCGUGACAUAUCUGUUUUGAUCACAUUCCCAACGGAUCCAUAAAAUAACACAAAAUAACAUCACAUGCACUACUUUUGAAGUCUGUACUGAGUUACUGGUCUGAAACAUUAUCAAUUGCACUGUGGUAUGCAUACAGAGCUUCCGGCAGAGUGUGUAUCCAGUGAGUCAUUUGAGAAAUGGGGUGUCUCUGCCAGGCAUUCUUUUAGUAGCCCAUGUAAGAUGUUACUGAAGAGCUGGAGAGAAGAGGGAGCCACUCUACCUCAUCAUUCACACUGAACCUAAAUGAAGAGAUCUUAGAUUAGACUCACCUCCAUCUUUCAUAUUAAUCUAGGGUAAAUAUUGAAAUAAAUCAUUCUGUUUCUUUAGUCCUAAUUUAUCUUUUCCUAGGAAAAGAAGAAGAAUCUAGCACUGUAAAAUACACCUGGGAUCUUACCUGAGAUAAAACUACAAACUAUAGUAGGCUAACAUAGUCAAGACUUUAUAUUUCCAAAACACUUUAAAAUAUAUUAUCUCAUUUAGACUAUAUUCAAAUAUUUAACCUCAUAUGUCUCUAUUUGGGAACUGUGAAAAAUAAGGCCUAAGGAGAUAUUUUUUUUUCCAGGCCACAAAUCUAACAAAUGUUCUAUUUGUUAUUUUUAUUUUUAGCUAUUAUUUUCAGUCUUAAAUUUCCUGGUACUAUACAGUGCUGACAGUUUUUAGACUGUAUGAAGAAUAUGGCAUCCCCAAUUAGGGACUAUUAUGGCUCAACAGAAAGGGUAUAUAUACCUUGGAAAGGGCCAAAAGCUCAUAUGAAUGCUUUGUCACUAGCAUGCAUCUAUCUUGUGCCAAGAGAUCUUUUUCUAGUUAUCCUCUAGGGUAUUAAAUGUUUAAAUGUUUUCUGCAGCCACCCUGUUCUCUAGAUCCCAUGUAUUGAAAGACUUACAGGUCCCUAGGAGAAUAUUUUGUGAAGGUCUUAAAGAAAGCUACAUUUGCCUUCCUUUUCUACUUGUGAGCCUUUUUGAUUAAAACUCCUCCCUUACUGAUGUCAUCCAGAUCAGCUCAAGGAAAACAUUUGACAGGUCCAUCUGUGUCCACAGUCACCCACAAACAUGGGAAACUGCCACCCAUCUGCCUCCCUAUGCUUUGUUUUGCUCCUGUCCUGGUUAUUUUGUUCUCUUGUAGCUACAGGGGAUAUUAAUACCCUCCUGUCUUCCAGAAAUGUGAAGAGAAUGGAUCUAUGUUAGCUUGUGCUCCUGAGAGAAAGAUGUUAUAGAAAUAGCAUAUGCUAUCACACUGUUAUUUACACGCAAUUCUACAAGUUUUCUAGUAACAUCCUCACAUUUUAAUGAACAUGUUUCUUAACUUCCUACCUGGAUUCACUAUUAAUCAUUUCAAUGUAAUUAUGGCUCAUCAAUUAUUCUGCGUUUCCCAAAUAGAUUGUUUACUCUUAAUGACAGAAAUGUUAUAAAUUUAGGGACACUUUUUGGAUUCAAUUACUUUCUUGUCUAUUGCCUGCAUUUUAUGAUGUCAUUCACUAAUGUUGCCAAGAGUUGAAUAUUUGCAUUAGUUCCUUUUUUAUUUUGAAUAACAACAUACACUUUUUGGUAAAACAACACCAGGAUGAUUUCAAAUCAGGGAAAAUGCAAAUCAGAGGCUUAAAGAUGUGAAGCAAUCCAAAUAUUUUCUUAAUCACAUUCCUGGGGCAUUGUAUGAAAUUCCAAUAGCAAUCAAUGAUCUUAUGAUUCAAACAAUCCUAUAAAUAUGAUAAGAAUUCAUAAUAGCUGUCAAAAUUCAAAACAAAACAAAUAUGUCAGUGAAUUUCAAAAAGGAUUAUUUGAGUCAAUUUUAAUCAUUGCUUUUUUAUAAAGACAUAUUAUUUGAAACCGAUAUGUACAGAUUAGAGCUCAGUGUACAAAUUUACAGCCAUGUCACAUGAAUUUAAAAUCUUUUAAGAUACACACAUCGCAAGGACAAAAAACCAAACACUGCAUGUUCUCACUCAUAGGUGGGAAUUGAACAAUGAGAACACAUGGACACAGGAAGGGGAACAUCACACUCUGGGUACUGUUGCGGGGUGGGGGGAGUGGGGAGGGAUAGCAUUAGGAGAUACACCUAAUGCUAAAUGACGAGUUAAUGGGUGCAGCACACCAGCAUGGCACAUGUAUACAUAUGUAACUAACCUGCACAUUGUGCACAUGUACCCUAAAACUUAAAGUAUAAUAAUAAUAAAAUAAAAAAAGAUACACACAUCCACCAUUGUCAUGUAGCUUUCAAAUAAUGCAAAGAACUAACUUACUAUUUACUUGCCAUUGCCUCUGAUUCAUUUUCCUCAGUAGGUAAUACCACUCCUACCGUAAGUAUAUGUAAGAAAUGCUAGAUUACGAUAGUCAAAAAUAACUUUGCUUAGUUAAAGACUUUAUCUUCAUUUUCAAAAUGUGCGGCUUUUCCUCAAAGAUUGAUUGCAUGUUGUGAUUUAUUUCCUGGUGCUCAAAAAGAUUCAAAGAACUUUAAAUCUCUAAACAUAUUUUUGAAUAUACCAUCAAUUUAAUAUCUGUGGCUAAUACAAACCUCAUUUUGUUCAAACAAAGGUUACUGUACAUAGUAUCUGAAAUGACUUGAUAUAUUUUCCAUUCUUUCAUUAAGUAACUAAUCUUCAGGUUAAAAAAUGUUCUUUUAAAUGAGAUAAACCUCAGUUAAUAUUUUAGAAGGCAAAUUGUUGUUAUGAUUAUUGAUUCUUUCCUUGUUUUAUGUGGAAACAAAUUAGAGAUGCUCAAAAUUCUCAUUUUUUAAAUUUCAGGAGAAUGUGUACAUAAUUAAAUAUAUUUCUGUGUAAAUGCAAUAGCACCCUCUGGAGGUCUGAAACACUUUGCAUAACUUCCAUAAAUCAAUGUCUUCUUUUGUUAUCUCCACAUAUUUUUGUUGGCUUAGACUUUUAAUAUUUUACAUUCUGAUAAUCAUAUUUGUCUCAUAAAGUGAUUAAAUACAUUUAAUCUAUUAUUACUUUCUAUUUAUUAUGCAUUCAUUGUGAUUUGUGUGUCAUCUCAUUUGUAAUGCUGCAAUGUAAUAACAAAAUAAACAAUUCAGCUGACCUUG